rnacentral:rRNA from 1 species
CCUACGGGAGGCAGCAGUGAGGAAUAUUGGUCACUGGGCGCGAGCCUGAACCAGCCAAGUCGCGUGAGGGAAGACGGUCCUAUGGAUUGUAAACCUCUUUUGUCGGGGAGCAAACGACGCCACGCGUGGCGUUCCGAGAGGACCCGAAGAAAAAGCAUCGGACAACUCCGUGCCAGCCGCCGCGGUAAUACGGAGGAGGCGAGCGUUAUCCGGAUUUAUUGGGUUUAAAGGGUGCGCAGGCGGAAGAUCAAGUCAGCGGUAAAAUUGAGAGGCUCAACCUCUUCGAGCCGUUGAAACUGGUUUUCUUGAGUGAGCGAGAAGUAUGCGGAAUGCGUGGUGUAGCGGUGAAAUGCAUAGAUAUCACGCAGAACUCCGAUUGCGAAGGCAGCAUACCGGCGCUCAACUGACGCUCAUGCACGAAAGUGUGGGUAUCGAACAGGAUUAGAUACCCGGGUAGUC